rnacentral:rRNA from 1 species
CGGGGGGGGCUAGCGUUGUUCGGAAUUACUGGGCGUAAAGGGCGCGUAGGCGGUCUGCUAAGUUGGAUGUGAAAACUCUGGGGUUAACCCAGAGCCUGCAUUCAAUACUGACAGGCUAGAGUUCUGGAGGGGAUAGCGGAAUUCCUGGUGUAGCGGUGAAAUGCGUAGAUAUCGGGAGGAACACCGGUGGCGAAGGCGGCUAUCUGGACAGAGUCUGACGCUGAGGCGCGAAAGCUAGGGGAGCAAACAGGAUUAGAUACCCUGGUAGUCCUAGCCCUAAACGAUGGAUACUUGGUGUAACUGGGAUUGAAUCCAGUUGUGCCGAAGCUAACGCAUUAAGUAUCCCGCCUGGGGAGUACGGUCGCAAGGCUG